rnacentral:rRNA from 1 species
CCCUUAGAUGUUCUGGGCCGCACGCGCGCUACACUGACGAAUGCAACGAGCUUAUAACCUUGGCCGAAAGGUCUGGGUAAUCUCCAAAUUUCGUCGUGAUGGGGAUAGAUUAUUGCAAUUAUUAAUCUUCAACGAGGAAUGCCUAGUAGGCGCAAGUCAUCAGCUUGCGUUGAUUACGUCCCUGCCCUUUGUACACACCGCCCGUCGCUCCUACCGAUUGAAUGGUCCGGUGAAGCGUUCGGACCGUGGCCUUUGGACGGUUCGCCGUCUGUUGGCUGCGGGAAGUUCGUUAAACCUUAUCAUUUAGAGGAAGGAGAANUCGUAACA